GAAAGAACACAGGGAUUGCCUCAGUAACGGCGAGUGAAGCGGCAACAGCUCAAAUUUGAAAUCUGCCGCAAGGCCGAGUUGUAAUUUGUAGAGGAUGCUUCUGGGCAGCGGCCGGUCUAAGUUCCUUGGAACAGGACGUCAUAGAGGGUGAGAAUCCCGUAUGCGACCGGUUGGCACCCGUCACGUAGCUCCUUCGACGAGUCGAGUUGUUUGGGAAUGCAGCUCUAAAUGGGUGGUAAAUUCCAUCUAAAGCUAAAUACCGGCCAGAGACCGAUAGCGCACAAGUAGAGUGAUCGAAAGAUGAAAAGCACUUUGGAAAGAGAGUUAAAAAGCACGUGAAAUUGUUGAAAGGGAAGCGCAUGCAACCAGACUUGUCGGCGGUGUUCCGCCGGUCUUCUGGCCGGUCUACUCGCCGCCGACAGGCCAGCAUCGUGUGGGUGUGCCGGAUAAAGGCGUCGGGAAUGUGGCCCCUCGGGGUGUUAUAGCCCGGCGCAUAAUACGGUGCCGCCCGCGCGAGGUCCGCGCUUCGGCUAGGAUGCUGGCGUAAUGGUCGUAUGCGGCCCGUCUUGAAACCCGGACCAAGGAGUCUAACAUCUGUGCGAGUGUUCGGGUGUCAAACCCCUACGCGGAAUGAAAGUGAACGGAGGUGGGAGCUUCGGCGCACCAUCGACCGAUCCUGAUGUCCUCGGAUGGAUUUGAGUAAGAGCAUAGCUGUUGGGACCCGAAAGAUGGUGAACUAUGCCUGAAUAGGGUGAAGCCAGAGGAAACUCUGGUGGAGGCUCGCAGCGGUUCUGACGUGCAAAUCGAUCGUCAAAUUUGGGUGUAGGGGCGAAAGACUAAUCGAACCAUCUAGUAGCUGGUUCCUGCCGAAGUUUCCCUCAGGAUAGCAGUA
rnacentral:rRNA from 1 species